rnacentral:rRNA from 1 species
UUCGCAAUGCCCGAAAGGGUGACGAAGCGACGCCGCGUGUGGGAAGAAGGCCUUCGGGUUGUAAACCACUGUCGGGAGUUAAGAAAUACAAGGAUAUUAAUAGUGUCUUUGUUUGACUAAGGCUCCGGAGGAAGCCACGGCUAACUCUGUGCCAGCAGCCGCGGUAAUACAGAGGCGGCAAGCGUUGUUCGGAGUUAUUGGGCGUAAAGAGCACGUAGGCGGCUAUGUAAGUCGGUUGUGAAAGCCUUCCGCUCAACGGAAGAACAGCAUCCGAUACUACAUGGCUUGAGUGCGGGAGGGGAGAGUGGAACUUCUGGUGGAGCGGUGAAAUGCGUAGAUAUCAGAAGGAACGCCGGCGGCGAAAGCGGCUCUCUGGCCCAUAACUGACGCUGAGUGUGCGAAAGCUAGGGGAGCAAACGGGAUUAGAUACCCCGGUAGUCCUAGCCGUAAACGAUGGGCACUAAGUAGAGGGGUUUU